AUUGAACGCUGGCGGCAUGCUUUACACAUGCAAGUCGAACGGUAACAGGCCGCAAGGUGCUGACGAGUGGCGAACGGGUGAGUAAUGCAUCGGAACGUGCCCAGUCGUGGGGGAUAACGCAGCGAAAGCUGUGCUAAUACCGCAUACGAUCUAUGGAUGAAAGCGGGGGACCGUAAGGCCUCGCGCGAUUGGAGCGGCCGAUGUCAGAUUAGAUAGUUGGUGGGGUAAAGGCCUACCAAGCCGACGAUCUGUAGCUGGUCUGAGAGGACGGCCAGCCACACUGGGACUGAGACACGGCCCAGACUCCUACGGGAGGCAGCAGUGGGGAAUUUUGGACAAUGGGCGCAAGCCUGAUCCAGCAAUGCCGCGUGCAGGAAGAAGGCCUUCGGGUUGUAAACUGCUUUUGUACGGAACGAAACGGUCUGGGUUAAUACCCUGGGCUAAUGACGGUACCGUAAGAAUAAGCACCGGCUAACUACGUGCCAGCAGCCGCCGUAAAAC
rnacentral:rRNA from 1 species